rnacentral:rRNA from 1 species
AACGAACGCUGGCGGCAGGCCUAACACAUGCAAGUCGAACGCUGUAGCAAUACAGAGUGGCAGACGGGUGAGUAACGCGUGGGAACAUGCCCUUCGGUUCGGAAUAACUCAGGGAAACUUGAGCUAAUACCGGAUACGCCCUUAGGGGGAAAGAUUUAUUGCCGAAGGAUUGGCCCGCGUCCGAUUAGCUAGUUGGUGAGGUAAUGGCUCACCAAGGCGACGAUCGGUAGCUGGUCUGAGAGGAUGAUCAGCCACACUGGGACUGAGACACGGCCCAGACUCCUACGGGAGGCAGCAGUGGGGAAUAUUGGACAAUGGGCGCAAGCCUGAUCCAGCCAUGCCGCGUGAGUGAUGAAGGCCCUAGGGUUGUAAAGCUCUUUCGCCAGGGACGAUAAUGACGGUACCUGGAUAAGAAGCCCCGGCUAACUUCGUGCCAGCAGCCGCCGUAA